AAGUUAUUGUUUCUUUUUUUUUUUCCUGUUCAUUCAGAUUUGUUCAAAUUUGUUAGAAAAUUUUAAUGAACAAUUGGUUCUAUAUUGUUUGAUUUGAUUGUUCAAAUCACUUGAUUACUGGGUUGCAUUGGAAUUGUUGGAAUUUUAUUUGCGUCUGAUUGAUUACUGGGUUGUACUGUUUUAGUGUUUUAUUGUUGAAAUUCCAUGAGUUCUGUGUGCGUGUGUGGGCGAGUGGGUGGGGGGGGCGCGGCACGGACUGGGGCCUGAAAUCAUGGGAUAGGCGCUGGAAGAACUGAUGAAUCAAUCGAACUGAACCAGAAUAAAUCGGUUCUGUUUGAUUGGGUUGCUUUUAAAGCACAAUUCAUUGGGUUGCUUUUAAAGCACAAUUCGGUUUUCCCCGCAUAUUCCAUGCUAUAUUAAAUUUCCGCUCUUUGUUUUUUCCCCAAUUGUUUUCCCAGGACUCGUGAUUCCCGUCUCUUUUUACACCCAUUCUCUGCAACAUGGCUUCCAUCCAUUGUUUUGGGUGAGUUGUGA
rnacentral:misc_RNA from 1 species